GAUGAACGCUGGCGGCGUGCCUAAUACAUGCAAGUCGAGCGAGUGGAUUAAGAGCUUGCUCUUAUGAAGUUAGGGGCGGACGGGUGAGUAACACGUGGGUAACCUGCCCAUAAGACUGGGAUAACUCCGGGAAACCGGGGCUAAUACCGGAUAACAUUUUGAACCGCAUGGUUCGAAAUUGAAAGGCGGCUUCGGCUGUCACUUAUGGAUGGACCCGCGUCGCAUUAGCUAGUUGGUGAGGUAACGGCUCACCAAGGCAACGAUGCGUAGCCGACCUGGGAGGGUGAUCGGCCACACUGGGACUGAGACACGGCCCAGACUCCUACGGGAGGCAGCAGUAGGGAAUCUUCCGCAAUGGACGAAAGUCUGACGGAGCAACGCCGCGUGAGUGAUGAAGGCUUUCGGGUCGUAAAACUCUGUUGUUAGGGAAGAACAAGUGCUAGUUGAAUAAGCUGGCACCUUGACGGUACCUAACCAGAAAGCCACGGCUAACUACGUGCCAGCCGCCGCAGUAA
rnacentral:rRNA from 1 species